rnacentral:lncRNA from 1 species
AAAGCUAGAUAAAAUCUACCAAAUCAAAAUAUCAAACUAACCCACAUAAAUCUGCUUCCCACAUCAGUGACCAGACCAACGUAUACCGUCCUUUGAUCUUGUCUAACUUUUACCUCUAUGCGUUUGAAGAACCCUGUGUUUUUAAUCUUAUUUACACCAUUAAAGGGCAAGAAAUAUUUUUAAAAUGACCCUCUAACCAUAGCAUAUAUUCUAGAAAAACCACCUACAAAGUUGAAAACAGAAUGAGAGGGAAAAGGAAACUCAAAUGGUAAGAUGGUAGAAAAAG